CAGAAUCCUAGGAAACCCCAGAUUUUGGCGCUCAUUUUUGACUUAGGGAUGAUGCUGAGACAUCAGGUUCCUGAAAAUGUUCUCCACUUCAUGAAUUGUCUCGAGUGUUUCAGGAGAAGGUCCCGUACAAGAGCAACUGAAUGCAUCAACAAUACCUUUGUCCAUUUCUGAUCCAAGAUCCCUCAGUCCAUUCCUAAGGAAAGGCAACGGGUAUUUGAUUGCACC